rnacentral:lncRNA from 1 species
GUUUGUUGGGUUUUUUUGCGAAAAAUAUUUUUAAAUAAAUUUUUGCCUUUUUUUACAUUCUGAUAUACAUAUGUAACAAGGUUUUUAUGGCACUGUAACCAGAAUUAAUCAAAAGGGAAAGGUGGGAAGGAAGUUAGUAGCGUGUGGAAUCCCUUCCCCGGCUGGCAAAUUCACCCCGUCAGCCACUCACGCCAGCCUCAACUCCCUGCACACUCAAAACACCGCAUUAUUGCACUGGAGCCCGUGAAGGCAGGCGGUGUAAUGGUCACUUCCCUGCUAUUCAAAAGAUCUCUUAAACCAGAGAGGGGGAAAAGAUCCAGAGCACGAAACACACAGAGUAACGGCGACUCGGUCUCUUUAGAGAAGGCAGAAGGGUUCUGGGGCCACCGCGGCUCCGAUCGUCCCUGCAGCUGGCACUCGGGCGUGGGUGGCGGGUUUGGUUUCCUAUGUGGUGGCCGGGGGACCCGAGCCUGCAGCAUUCCAUGUCUCGCUCCUCACUUUGGGUUCUUCUGAAUUGGUUUAAGGUUUGGUAUCUUCGGUCUAUGAACCUGCACAGACUAUUUAGUUGUAAACUCUACAAAUAGCUUAAAAGGAAAAGGGGAAGAGCCAGUUUUAUUACAUUUUUAUCGUUGGGUUAACAAAUGACUUCUUUAACCUUCCUGCUUGUCACUUUGCAGGAAGUGAAUCUCAAUGGCCUCAAAAGUUACAGUCUUUCACACUUGCUAAAAAUAAAAAGUCUUUCAACAAAUUUGCUUCCAUUCACGAACUAUACCCCAACUAAAACAGAGAAAGAGAAAGAAAACUGACAAAACCCGAAUCCAUCCUCCCCCGGCCCUGGCGGAGCACCUGCCCCAUGCCGGUGGUCACACGACUGUCUCCACGCCCAUGAGCUUGGGCGUCAGGAUCCGUGGGGUCACACCAUUGUUGAGGUCUUCCUCGAACUCCAGCAACUGCCCCAUGAAGUUAAGGUUUGGGGAAAUAAUUGGUCGUUUGCCUUUGACGAAUUUGUACGCAUCCGUCAUGGUCAUCCACGUGUGCUUCAUUAGGUAGGCGAUGACAAUGGUGGCGGACCGUGACACGCCGGCCUGGCAGUGAAUGAGGAGCCCCUUG